rnacentral:rRNA from 1 species
GUGAACGCUGGCGGUAGGCCUAACACAUGCAAGUCGAACGGCAGCACAGUAAGAGCUUGCUCUUACGGGUGGCGAGUGGCGGACGGGUGAGGAAUACAUCGGAAUCUACUUUUUCAUGGGGGAUAACGUAGGGAAACUUACGCUAAUACCGCAUACGACCUACGGGUGAAAGCAGGGGAUCUUCGGACCUUGCGCGAUUGAAUGAGCCGAUGUCGGAUUAGCUAGUUGGCGGGGUAAAGGCCCACCAAGGCGACGAUCCGUAGCUGGUCUGAGAGGAUGAUCAGCCACACUGGAACUGAGACACGGUCCAGACUCCUACGGGAGGCAGCAGUGGGGAAUAUUGGACAAUGGGCGCAAGCCUGAUCCAGCCAUACCGCGUGGGUGAAGAAGGCCUUCGGGUUGUAAAGCCCUUUUGUUGGGAAAGAAAAGCAGCAGGUUAAUACCCCGCUGUUCUGACGGUACCCAAAGAAUAAGCACCGGCUAACUUCGUG